rnacentral:rRNA from 1 species
AUUGAACGCUGGCGGCAGGCCUAACACAUGCAAGUCGAACGGUAGCACAGAGAGCUUGCUCUCGGGUGACGAGUGGCGGACGGGUGAGUAAUGUCUGGGAAACUGCCCGAUGGAGGGGGAUAACUACUGGAAACGGUAGCUAAUACCGCAUAACGUCGCAAGACCAAAGUGGGGGACCUUCGGGCCUCACACCAUCGGAUGUGCCCAGAUGGGAUUAGCUAGUAGGUGGGGUAAUGGCUCACCUAGGCGACGAUCCCUAGCUGGUCUGAGAGGAUGACCAGCCACACUGGAACUGAGACACGGUCCAGACUCCUACGGGAGGCAGCAGUGGGGAAUAUUGCACAAUGGGCGCAAGCCUGAUGCAGCCAUGCCGCGUGUAUGAAGAAGGCCUUCGGGUUGUAAAGUACUUUCAGCGGGGAGGAAGGCGGUGAAGUUAAUAACUUCACCGAUUGACGUUACCCGCAGAAGAAGCACCGGCUAACUCCGUGCCAGCAGCAGCCGCGG